GUACUAAGAAAUUUGAACAAGAAACUAGACAGAAAUACUUGCAGCAGCCAGGUUUCCUCCAGCGCUGUCUCCAGACACACAGAGCCGCUCCGGGUCGAUGCUGUACUGCUGCAAGAGUUCAGCAGACAGGAAGACCCGCGACGCUGCCACGGCGUCGUGGUACUGAUCCGGAAACACGGCCUCGGGAGCCAGGCGUUUCUGGGCAGAAAUCGUUCCCUGGUCUCAUCAGUUCAACCGUGUCCAUGACAACUGAACGAACUCUUUGUUUGUCGAAACGGACACAAUGUACCGUGAAGUUGAACAUAAAAAACCUCCUGUUUCAUGAAAGCCACAGCAGCACUGCAGUUAGCAAGAAGAAGAAGAAAAUAAAAGGAAUGAAUUUGCUGAUUUAA